AGGGGGUUCCCACUGCGCACGCGCAGUGUUUAACGGCCGAUCAGGAACCCAACAAUUAGUCCCUUCUCGUCCGAGAGGAAACUGUUAGAGGAUGGGAUCGUGAGCACUCUCUUGAACAGGGACAUUUCUUUUUCAGCGAAAGUACCGCUCUGAUUUACCAAGUCUGGCAGACGGCGCCGGUUUAAGGGAAUGAGGGUCCAGCGGUCGCGCCAAGCAGCUUCGGGAACACCCUUGUCGCCGCCGUUCCGGUAAUACCUCUCCAACGCUUUCGAUGCUUCCACUUCUCGGGAACAAGACAAGAUGGCGCUCGAUUUGUCUCACCCGGAAGUAAAUAAUAAUAACAUCCGUUCGUCAUCUGAAGGCAAACCAUAUCUCAUCCAGGUUUGUGAACACGUGAUUGUGCCGAUUGACAUUUCGGCGCCAUUUUUGUUACGGGCAAAACCAUCUCUACUCGGUCCAGGCAACUGAACCAUUCCUGCACGUUACUUUUUAGUGUAGCCAGCGCCAUGCCCGACUCAUCUCUUAUCUUUAUAGUGGACGGAAAGCCAAGAGCGUGAGGACACAGCAAGAAGGCACAGUCUUGAUGAGCAGAAGUGGGCCCUCACCAGACCCCAAGUCUACUGGCACCUUGAUCUGGGAAUAGCCUCCAGAAUGGUGAGAAAUAAAUGUCUGUUAAUACAUCACCUGGUUUAUGGUAUUUUGUUAUAGCAGCCUGAGUGGACUAAGAUACAGUGUUGAUAGAUAAAACAUUCUGUCAAUCAUGUAAACUGCAAAAAUUCCAGAACCAAUCUUGUGACAUAAGAUAAAUAAGAAUUUAAUAUUUAUUUUGCAUGUUUUAUACAGUAACACCAAAAUAAUGCUCAGUAAGUUACACAGCUAUUUUCUAGAAACACAGCAAAAAAAAAGAAA